rnacentral:tRNA from 2 species
UGAGGAGUAGCCAAGUGGUAAGGCACCUGACUCUGGAUCAGGCUACCGCAGGUUCGAAUCCUGCCUCCUCAACCC